AAUAGUGAAGUUGUCUUGGAGGAAUUGUUGGAGGACGCGACUGGUACCUUCAUGGAGAAGGGGGAAGCCUGCGCGUGUGGCUGACACAAAUGGUUGUCACCCGCCAUCUAGUGGCCAUCUGUGAAACUGUGCUUAUGCCGUGGGAAAGGCUUUUGGAACAAGCUUGGUUGCUUAGUGCCUAUCGGGCAGCCAGUGAACAUUUGUCCAUAUUUAAGGCACUAAACUGAGAGGAACCACUGAGGAAAGCAUGCCACAGUCUUUUCCAAAAUUCCUGUGUCUUAAAGAACAACCAAGAAGUAACUGGUCAGGGAAAACAUUUCUUUUGAGAAGCAGGUAAGUAACCAAGACGCCGUGGGAGACAUCCUUGCCUGCAACAGUUGUGGUAUAAAGCAAGAGAAUGAUGGGAGCUGUGAUCCGUACGUCUGUAUGCAGAACCGUCGUACCUGGGUCUCUGCCUGUCCCUGCUCCAGGAAGGUGUUGGAUCCUCCCCAGUCCGAGGAAAGAGAUCUUUAAUGGAUCUUUAACAGUUGCCAAGCUUCAGCCACUCCGGAGGAUCACCCAGUGCUCUGGAAGAAUGUCUGCCAUUUAACGAUAUCACUGAACCAAACAGCACAACUUCUCCAUCUGUCAGAAAACCAACAGGUAGGCCUCUGCCCUUUGGAAAUUCAGUGUGAACUUAUUAUUAUCACAUACUGUUUGGUAUGGUUUCCA
rnacentral:lncRNA from 1 species